CAAAGUGUAGCUUACUCAAAGCACCUGGCCUACACCCAGAAGAUUCCAUACAACAAUGGCCACUUUGA
rnacentral:tRNA from 2 species